GCAGAAAAAGUAGACCAGUGUUCCAACGUCAAACUAAAUCAUAAUAUCCAUUCAACCCACCUAUCUGUUAAAGACCAUUUAAAAAGUUCUAAAGGAAAGUGGGGGCCGGGUUCUCGCACACCGUACUUUCGAUUAAUUCACGUAUAACGAACGUUAUAAGCCAUAAGUUAUAAUCCGAGAGACAGAUUCCGGGGCCUUCUGGUCUGAUUCUAAGCCGAAGCUUGCUUCUCCCAGCGGGUGGUUUAGGAGUACGGCCAGACCGCACGCGGCGAAGUGAACCGAGUUUACAAUAAGGAGUCUACGUCUACCACCUCUUUCCUUUUCCACUUUGUCCCUCGCUUCUUCCUUGAACCGUCACACACCGUUUCGCUUUUCUUCUCGAUAACUCGUCCAUCCGUAACACGAAACUCUGCUAUCUGAAGAUAGUUAACCGGGAGCGUACACAACUAUACCCCUAUAAUUUAAUAGGGGUUUCAUCUUGGAUCGAUAACGCACUUCGUCGAGCAUUAUUCGGAAAACUUCUAAAGAAGAAAACUUUUUGUUGAAGUUUUUAAAAGGCUUCUGAACAUUAAUUAAGUAUGUCUUGAUUAACUCUCAAGAGUUUGAAAGGUUGUAUCAUCCAUCCGUGAUUUUUAUCUGUUUUAUUAAACGAUAACUGUCAUUUGAAAAUCGAUCAUUCCGUAGUUUAUGUUGUAUAGAACGAUGAAACGUUUAUUAAGUAAAAAAAGGAAAUGGAAAAUCGCAAUAAAUUUUCGGUUUCAUAAAACGAGCAUAGAAGGGGAAACGCAAUAUAUUGGAAAUUACUCUUUUUCGUCCGCUUGAAGGUGAUCCACCUCGUCGAUUCAAUUAAUUAAAUUUUAUAUUUUAGUUAUUUCCUGUUUUAUACAGAAAUUCCUUCCUCGAGCAUAUUAUUUUUCACAGGGCAAUAACUCGCGGUUUCUUUAUUAAAACUUAUAAAUAAAAUAUUCUUGACGCUCCGAGAAGAGGUAGAAAUAAUUUGACGUCGCAUCGAUCAGGUAAUUUUCGAGCGUAAGAAGGUUCUUGGACUGUUGCCCAGUCCUAACAAACCCCGUAUGCUUCCUUGUACUCCUCUUCAAGGAUUCUUGUCUCAUUCUUUUCCGAGGAACGACAAAACCCUAACAGAAUCACGUAGGCGAGUCGAGGAUCGCCCACGUGGUUCACGAAAUUCUGCAAGUCCAUCGUAUUCUUUUUUUCUUUUUCCUGAGAUUUACACUCCUGACAAACAACGAUGAACUCGUUAUCCCACGAAUUUCGUGUUACUCGCACGUUGGAUUACAAUCGUGUUUAUGUCUGGUCGCAAUUAACUUACGUGCGAUGAAAAUGUUGGAAUUCAGCUGAACAAAAUCCUUGGAUAACUAUCAAAUUCCCCCGGUAAUUUCUUCUUUUUCUAAAGAAAUAGUUUCUAAAGAAUAGUAUCAUCGAAAAUCUCCUUCCUUUAUCACCGCGAAAUCCCAGUAGUAACGUCUUUUCCCAGAACACCAACAUUGUUCCUCGUUCCUUGAAUAUCCGUGCAACGCGCUCUUUUAAUCCGGGAUUUCUUUCGAACGCUUCCAUGAGCCCAAUUAGACUCAUUCGGUCCGAGUUGAAAACGCGGUCUGCCGGUUAUUCUUCGUUUAACUCGAACACGAUGCUUUUGCUUCCCCGAACAGGGGUUGCUUGUGACGAGCCCGCGAUAAAAGUGCUCGCCGUUACGGCGAUAGUCACGAGCUGAAGAAACGAGCCGUCCACGGAUGGGAGGCUUGAAUGAUACAAGGUGUGAAGUUACACGUCGACGAGGAGGGACGAGUUCACGAAGAGGGAAGGUGGAGAGACUAUUUAUGUGUCUGAGUCGGCUUUGGUCUCGGGUUCUCGAGCAGGAUGGACGAGUGGAUAGGUAGAUACGUUUAUUAAGUGGAAAGAGAAAGACGGAUAACAGUGGAUUGUGGAAGAUGGAGAGAAAGGGUAGAAUCAAGCGAUCCCGAUCAUUAGUCGCUCGUCGUUCACACAGAGCGCUUCGGCAGGUAGUAUUCAGCACUCAAAGGGUUAAUUUAAGAUCGUGUAUGAUCGAGGAUAAUGUUUACAAGAGAGAUACAAUGUGAAACGCAUGCGUGGUGAGCUUGUUGUUGCUGGACAAAUCGCUUUGAAGCUAAUUAACUGGGAUGAUAUAGCUGUGCAACGUGUUUAAUGACAAUAGAGCACCUAUGUGUACCAUGAAUUACCGAGAUUGAAAGCGUCGGGAAAUUGACGCUAAUGACGAAUUAUUAAGGAAAUGUGAUUGUUACGGUUUAAUUAAUAUUUGGAAAGCGAAUCUUCCGCUCGUUAAAAGGCGCCCUUUUAACGUCGAUGUUUUAUUCAUAUUACAAUUCAUGAUUAUUUAAUCAAUUUUAAAUACCCAUCUCAUGAUAAUAUCAAACGAUGUAACCAUGUAUUAUAUUGUAAUUAUUAAUGACUAUGCUGAAUAAAUAAUUUAAGAGAAAAAAAAAAGAAAAAAGGAGAAACUGUCUGUCGUUUAUUUGUACGAUCCCUGUCUAAUUUCAGUCAUCGAAGGG